CUACGGGGGGCACCAGUGGGGAAUAUUGCACAAUGGAGGAAACUCUGAUGCAGCAACGCCGCGUGGAGGAUGACACUUUUCGGAGCGUAAACUCCUUUUAUAUAGGAAGAAGAUGACGGUACUAUAUGAAUAAGCGCCGGCUAACUCCGUGCCAGCAGCCGCGGUAAUACGGAGGGCGCAAGCGUUACGCGGAAUCACUGGGCGUAAAGAGCGUGUAGGCGGAUUAAAAAGUCAGAAGUGAAAUACUAUAGCUUAACUAUAGAACUGCUUCUGAAACUCUUAAUCUAGAAUAUGGGAGAGGUAGAUGGAAUUUCUGGUGUAGGGGUAAAAUCCGUAGAGAUCAGAAGGAAUACCGAUUGCGAAGGCGAUCUACUAGAACAUUAUUGACGCUGAGACGCGAAAGCGUGGGGAGCAAACAGGAUUAGAUACCCCUGUAGUC
rnacentral:rRNA from 1 species